GAAAUGCGAUAAGUAAUGUGAAUUGCAGAAUCUCGUGAAUCAUUGAAUCUUUGAACGCACAUUGCGCCCUAUGGUAUUCCGUAGGGCAUGCCUGUCUGAGCGUCAGCUCGUCCUCUCAAGCAGUUUUGCUUGGAUAACAUUGGAGAAGCUAUGCACGGUCCAUCAGGAACUCUGCGUGCUCCCCAGAAAUAUAUAGGCGGUACGGUUCCAGUAAACCAGACGUAAUAAACUAUUAUAUCGUCCAUUUGCUAGAGAGCUGUUGCUUGCCUCUUAUAAUCCACAUCUUUUCUACAAGAUGACCUCAGAUCAGGUAGGGAUACCCGCUGAACUUAAGC
rnacentral:misc_RNA from 1 species